rnacentral:rRNA from 1 species
CAUGAAGCUGGAUUCGCUAGUAAUCGCGCAUCAGCCACGGCGCGGUGAAUACGUUCCCGGGCCUUGUACACACCGCCCGUCACACCAUGAGAGUUGGAGAUACCCGAAGCCUGUGAGCUAACUUUUAGAGGCAGCAGUCGAAGGUAGAAUCAAUGAUUGGGGUGAAGUCGUAACAAGGUAGC